rnacentral:rRNA from 1 species
UACGUAGGGUGCGAGCGUUAAUCGGAAUUACUGGGCGUAAAGCGUGCGCAGGCGGUUUUUUAAGCCAGAUGGGAAAUCCCCGGGCUCAACCUGGGAAUGGCAUUUGGGACUGCAAGGCUGGAGUUUGGCAGAGGAGACUGGAAUUCCUGGUGUAGCAGUGAAAUGCGUAGAUAUCAGGAGGAAUACCGAUGGCGAAGGCAGGUCUCUGGGCUAUAACUGACGCUCAUGCACGAAAGCGUGGGGAGCAAACAGG